AGGGUUCGAUUUCGGAGAGGGAGCAUGAGAAACGGCUACCACAUCUAAGGAAGGCAGCAGGCGCGUAAAUUACCCAAUCCUGACUCAGGGAGGUAGUGACAAGAAAUAGCAAACCGGGAACCUCAUGGCUUCACGGUAUUGCAAUGAGAACAAUUUAAAACCCUUAGCGAGAAUCAAGUGGAGGACAAGUCUGGUGCCAGCACCCGCGGUAAUUCCAGCUCCACUAGCGUAUAUUAAAGUUGUUGCAGUUAAAAAGCUCGUAGUUGAACCUCUGUCUGGGGCUAGUUUUGGCUUUGGUCAGGCUAGUUCUAGGCAUCCGCCUACAAGACUUAGAGGGCAUUCAGUUGUUCACUAGGAGGAGUAGGCAUUUUACUUUGAAAAAAUUAGAGUGUUUAAGGCAGGCAAUCGCCCGCAUAUAUUAGCAUGGAAUAAUAGAAUAGGACACUUUUCCAUUUCGUUGGUUAUUGGAAUCGUGUAAUGAUUAAUAGGGACAGUUGUGGGCAUUUGUAUUUAAUUGUCAGAGGUGAAAUUCUUGGAUUUAUUAAAGACAAACUAACGCGAAAGCAUUUGCCAAGGAUGUUUUCAUUAAUCAAGAACGAAAGUUAGGGGAUCAAAGACGAUCAGAUACCGUCCUAGUCUUAACUAUAAACUAUUCCGACUCAAUGUUUGACUGGCUUAUAUAACCAGUUGAGCGUUGUAUGAGAAAUCAAAGUCUUUAGGUUCUGGGGGGAGUAUGGUUGCAAAGCUGAAACUUAAAGGAAUUGACGGAAGAGCACAACCAGGAGUGGAUUCUGCGGCUUAAUUUGACUCAACACGGGGAAACUUACCAGGUUAAAACAAUAGUGGGAUUGACAGUUUGAGAGCGCUUUCUUGAUUGGUUGGGUGGUGGUGCAUGGCCGUUCUUAGUUGGUGGAGUGAUUUGUCUGCUUAAUUGCGUUAACGAACGAGACCUUAACCUGCUUACUAGACUGGCGAUCAUCAAUCGUUAGCUCUUCUUAGAGGGACUUUGGUUGUUUUAACUCCAAGGAAGUUUGAGGCAAUAACAGGUCUGUGAUGCCCUUAGAUAUCCUGGGCCGCACGCGUCAUACAAUGACUAGUUCAGAAAGUUUUCUCCUGACCCGAAAGGGGAUGGGUAAUCUUGAUAAUACUAGUCGUGUUAGGGAUCGAUCUUUGCAAUUAUAGAUCUUGAACGAGGAAUUCCUAGUAAGUGCGGUUCAUCAGACCGUACUGAUUACGUCCCUGCUCUUUGUACACACCGCCCGUCGCUUCUACCGAGUGGGUGGUCCGGUGAGAUAAUUGAACUUCGCAGGUAACUGAGAGGAAAGAUUAUCAAACCUAUCCACCUCGAGGAAGAAGAAGUCGUAACAAGGUU
rnacentral:rRNA from 1 species